UACGUAGGGUGCUAGCGUUGUCCGGAUUUAUUGGGCGUAAAGGGCUCGUAGGCGGCGUGUCGCGUCGGGAGUGAAAGCCCGCUGCUUAACGGCGGGUUGGCUUCCGGUACGGGCAUCGCUGGAGUGUGGUAGGGGAGAUCAGAAUUCCUGGUGUAGCGGUGAAAUGCGCAGAUAUCAGGAGGAACACCGGUGGCGAAGGCGGAUCUCUGGGCCAUUACUGACGCUGAGGAGCGAAAGCGUGGGGAGCGAACAGG
rnacentral:rRNA from 1 species